rnacentral:pre_miRNA from 1 species
GGUGUCGGUGCCGUGUUCUGUUCCUAACUCGGCUGGCGCCAUAUUGGCAGGCGUCCUUCGUUCCGUCACAGAACACGGGACCAGCCGCAU